rnacentral:tRNA from 1 species
GCGGGGGUAGCCAAGCCUGGUCAAAUAGCCAGCGGCGGUAGGCUCAAGACCUACUCCCGUAGGGGUUCGUGGGUUCGAAUCCCACCCCCCGCA